UACGUAGGUGGCAAGCGUUGUCCGGAUUUACUGGGCGUAAAGAGCGCGCAGGCGGUUGGAUAAGUCGAAUGUGAAAGCCCCCGGCUUAACUGGGGAGGGUCAUUCGAUACUGUUCAACUUGAAGGCAGGAGAGGGCAGCAGAAUUCCCGGUGUAGUGGUGAAAUGCGUAGAUAUCGGGAGGAAUACCAGUGGCGAAGGCGGCUGCCCUGGCCUGUUCUUGACGCUGAGGCGCGAAAGCUGGGGGAGCAAACGGGG
rnacentral:rRNA from 1 species